CACGUAGGGCGCAAGCGUUGUCCGGAAUUAUUGGGCGUAAAGAGCUCGUAGGCGGUCUGUUGCGUCCGCUGUGAAAACCCGGGGCUUAACCCCUGGCUUGCAGUGGAUACGGACAGACUAGAGGUAGGUAGGGGAGAAUGGAAUUCCCGGUGUAGCGGUGAAAUGCGCAGAUAUCGGGAGGAACACCGGUGGCGAAGGCGGCAUCCUGGACCAAUACUGACGCUGAGGAGCGAAAGCCAGGGGAGCAAACGGG
rnacentral:rRNA from 1 species